CGACUGAUCGGUACACAGAAGCUUCCAGAGUCUUAGCAAAACAAUACUGAAUCAAACAACUAAAAUGUCGAAAGUAAUUCUAUUAUUAUUGUCAAUUUUCUUGAUAAUUGGCUUUCAUGCUAGUGCAGUUCAAGCAGGAUGCCCCGGCAAAUGGUGUCAUCCCUCGCAGGGUUACGAUUGUUGCGAAGGUUUUAGGUGCUCCAGAGACCUUUUUCAAGGCACCUGUUAUUCAAAUUAUGAGUAUAAUAAAAAACAGGGAGAAGUCGCGGCCCAUCUGCCAUAAGUAGUGAAAAGAAAUGAUGGUGAUAUAUAAUUCCAUACAGGCAGUACAAAAUUCUAUUAUUUCGGAGCCGAUUCUCUAAGAUACAAAUUUCAAUGCAAUUUGGAAGUCAAUCAAUUGUAACAGUCACAUCGAAAAGUUACUUUUUGUCUGUGUUUAUAUAUAUCUUAUCAUUUAUGUCAGUUUUUGGUUUGACACAAUCAAUAAAUAAAGACGCAAACCAAUCUGCAGAGAUUUAUUUUUCAU